rnacentral:rRNA from 1 species
GAUGAACGCUGGCGGCGUGCCUAAUACAUGCAAGUCGAGCGAACAGACGAGUAGCUUGCUCCUCUGACGUUAGCGGCGGACGGGUUAGUAACACGUGGAUAACCUACCUAUAAGACUGGGAUAACUUCGGGAAACCGGAGCUAAUACCGGAUAAUAUAUUGAACCGCAUGGUUCAAUAGUGAAAGACGGUUUUGCUGUCACUUAUAGAUGGAUCCGCGCCGCAUUAGCUAGUUGGUAAGGUAACGGCUUACCAAGGCAACGAUGCGUAGCCGACCUGAGAGGGUGAUCGGCCACACUGGAACUGAGACACGGUCCAGACUCCUACGGGAGGCAGCAGUAGGGAAUCUUCCGCAAUGGGCGAAAGCUUGACGGAGCAACGCCGCGUGAGUGAUGAAGGUCUUCGGAUCGUAAAACUCUGUUAUUAGGGAAGAACAAAUGUGUAAGUAACUAUGCACGUCUUGACGGUACCUAAUCAGAAAGCCACGGCUAGCUACGUG